AGCCCCGUAACCGUCUGUUCCCGAAAUAACAAAAUCACGUGGCCGUGUCGUUUCCCAGAGUGAUCCGGUGCCCCCCAGACGCACCCCUUCACUGUCGCUCUUCUCAGAGACAGAUCUCACUCCUUUGGGCGCUGUGCCGCCCGCAAUGAAACUCACCGAGCCGGAGGUCCUACGGAAAGAGCUACGGGGGCCGAGGGGCCGCUGCAACUCGCCGACGCUCGAGCCGCGACCAGGGCCCUCCGCCUCUUCACUGCCGCUCCGCUUCACGUCGCUGUCACGCACACCCGUCAAGGACCAGGCAUUGCCACCAUGGAAAUAAUUGACAAUUAAGAAAAUAAUGCCCUUUGUUAUUAAAACGCAAAUGUACAGCCCCGAAGUCAACCCACUGCUGCACGAGGGCCCUCUUCUCCACGCCGUGAGGGUUGUCGGGGGUUGUUUGACCACGGUCAUCGCACGCUCGUCAGUGCGCGAGCAGGAGCGGAAAGAUGGCAGCGGCCUUCGAGCGGCCCACUCUGUUAAGCGAGAAAUCACGAGGAAUGCCGUCAACGCGGCGCCCGAAAAAUCGAGCAUCGAUCUCCUGGUCUAAAUAACAAACAAAAAAGUUAAAGGUGCGGGAGCAGAGACGUGGGCGCGCAAAAGUGUCGUGCACAACGGUGCGCUGAAGCAUUGCCCUCCGAUGAGCUCCACAUAGCACAGCCCAGCAACCUACCUGGCACCUACCUGGCAUGCCCAGUGAUCACCCAAUCAACCAUUGUGCGGGGGCAAACCCUGCCUAGCUUCCAAGAUUUAACAAGUUGGCAUAUUCUAAGUGAUUUAGCCGUGUGCUUCAAAUAAUUAUAAAGCUCAGGAAAGCCUCGGUGAGACUUAAAAUAUUAUUCGGGAGCAUCCUGCAUUGGGAUGAUUGGCCAAUUCCGUUAAUCAGCGGUUGACGUUGUGCUCACAGGGAAUCUUGAGUACCCGGAGAAAAUCCACGAUUGAAUCCUCAGGGUAUGGCACCUUGAUUGUCCACCAGCGCUCGCCCACGCAGCGCUGGAUCACAGGCGUGCACCACCAGCAAACCUGGCUCAGAUGGCAGGAGGGGACUACGUUGUCCUCUGGAUCGCCAUAACACAAUAUCGGGAAGCAAACGAAUGUUAUUUUCGGUGUUUUAUUACAAUAAUUAUAAUUUUGUGCUGCAUUAUCGUGAAAGCAGAAUUUUUAUAAAAAAAUCAUUGUUUUCAUUUCUUCCAACAGAGACGAUAGCGUUUGUAAAAAUUAGCAGUAUGUAGUGCAAUAGGUUUUCCCAUCAUGCAUCAAAUCGACCAUCCUCCGAGUUGAAUUAAGUGCUCAAGUGAACACAAAAAAAAACUAUAUAAUGCUGAGAUGGGCUUUUGAUAUGUAUUCGGAGUUGAACUGCUACAGUCAGCCUCCUUCCUGUUGCUAUAUCUGUCGAUUACAUUAUCAGUUUCUGCAAUGUCUGCCAUGUGUGUAGGCGACUUUGUUCCCCACAAAGGGUGAACCGGUUUGUGUAAAUUCUGGCAGGGUGCCUGCAUAUUGGGCAACAACACCCAGCCAUGGGGCAUCUCAGUCACAAGCCUGGCGACCUUGAGACGGAGGAGUUAAACUGCCAAAUGUUUUGUGUCGGAAAAAUCAGUAUUUUUUUGGUCAAAAUACAUUGGCAUACAGCGCAGGUCUGAGCACAUUGCAUCGUAUUAUGAGCGACAGCGAAUAUGCAGGAACACAGUUCCCUGAACAAAUUUUAAAAUAAAAGUAAACAAAUAAGAAAAACGCAUCGAAGAGACAAAAAUCUACGUAAUUUUAAAUCAUGGACUUGCCAGCUCUUUUUGGCUGAUAUUUUUACGGGUGACAUUUGGCACUCUUUGUAUUUAAAAUUCCGUCUUGAAAAGCAACAGACCCCCUCCCCUUGCCUUGACAGGAUUCUCCUACUAUGGCAGGCUGCCAGCUACGAAAGUGGUUAGAAAAAUGCGGUCACUGAG